UAAAUUGAGAGAGUUGUGCGAUGCAAAGACUGAAAAGGAACUUGAGAGAAUUCUCCCCAUACGACGUCGUGAGGAAAAAAGGAGAGAGUUCUCCCUGUAUACGUUGAUGUUGAGAGGAAGGAGAACCUUGCACUUCUGGAGAGAAACACACAUGAAGCCAAACUUGAAGGAGCUCUAAGUCAGAAAACGAAUUGAGAACCUGAGAAGACAAAAAAAAGCUUGAGCUCAAAGUUUGUCUCGGUCAAAAGGAAAGUGGUUAGCGCCUCCUCCAGGUGUAUUCAAGAUCAAUGUUGAUGGUGCUACUUCGGAUUGUGAAAAGAACUCUAGUGUGGGAGCUGUUAUAAGGGAUUCAGCUGGUAAUAUUGUUGCCGCUUGCUGUAAAUAUCUUCAGGGUCAAUACUUGGUGGAGGAAGUUGAAGCUUUGGCUAUGGAAUGUGGUCUUCUUCUUGCCAAAGAGCAAAAGCUUUCCCAAA